rnacentral:tRNA from 4 species
GGGCCUGUGGUCUAGUGGCAGAACAGCGCGUUUGCAUCGCGCAGGCGGGAGUUCGAUUCUCCCCAGGUCCACAA